CGCGUCCCUGUAAAUUUAUUAUUAUCAGUUUUUUUGGCAUUUCUUCUGUUUGAUAACGCAAUUUACAUCCGCUAAAGCUCAGAAACGACGCUAAAAUAGGUCUGGAAGGGAGGCCUGAAGGCUGCGGAGCCAUAUCACGAUGACAUUUGUCAUGUGCGAAACGUUCGGCUGCGUUCGGGUGUGUUCGGGCGGGCUCGUGAGCGAUCGGGCGUGUUCGGAAGCGGUCGGGGGCCGUCCGUCCGUAUUGAUCUUGUGGUGUCGGCCGGCGCCGGGCGGCCGGUCGCCGGUGGCGCCCCCGUGCGUCGCUAAUGAGACCUGAUGGCGAUCCAUUAUUUAGGAGCUCGGAGACGGUGCGGUACGAGAAAUUAAUGGCAAAUUUAUUGAUUUAUUGCAAGCGAAAUUAAAGAUUGAUUAGUUAAGUGAGUUUCUGCACGAGAGAUACGAGAUUAAUCCCGUUCGUAAUAAGUAAUAAACUAAAUGUACGAGGAGCUGCUCUCGAUUUAAUAGUAAACUUAUCAUUGUAUCAUUUGUAAGAUAUAUUUAGAUGAAUCAAAUUAAUUCAUAUUACAUUCAACCUGUCAUACCAUAAGGAUAAUAUAGAAAAGGAAGUUUUUUGCGUAGUUUUUUGUGACACGAUUUUUAUAAAGAAUAAUUAAAAAUAAAAUAUAGAGUGAUCGUU